GACAGAGGUGCCGAGCGUUAGGCGGAAUCACUGGGCUUAAAGCGUGUGUAGGCGGGUCGUUAAGUGUCUUGUGAAAUCCCACCGCUCACCGGUGGAACGGCUGGGCAUACUGGCGACCUUGAGAGGCCUAGGGGCAGACGGAGCAAGCGGUGGAGCGGUGAAAUGCGUAGAUAUCGCUUGGAACGCCGACGGCGAAAGCAGUCUGCUGGGGGCCUUCUGACGCUGAGACACGAAAGCCAGGGGAGCGAACGGG
rnacentral:rRNA from 1 species